AGAGUGACUUCUUCUGACUGGAGCCUUCAAGUGUUUUGAGAGAUCUGCUACCAGAUCAUCUCAACUUUGGUCUCUUGGAACCAUCCACUCGUGACAGUCAAAAAAUGUCCCGGAAAUCCUGACACUUAGGCGUCGGAUCUCCGUUAGCCAAGUUGCUGUGUGCAUCUGGAAGUAAAGCACAAGCAUCCUUUGUUAGACAAAGUCUGU